ACCCAGGGAUUUACUACUCUUGAAAUGCCAGAUCCCAUCUGAUCUUUGAAGCUAAGCAAGAUCUGCCCUGAUUAGUGCUUAGAUGGGAGAUCACAAAAAACUACAGGGUACUGUAGGCU
rnacentral:rRNA from 1 species